UACGUAGGGGGCAAGCGUUGUCCGGAUUUAUUGGGCGUAAAGAGCGUGUAGGCGGUUAGGUAGGUCCGUUGUGAAAACUCGAGGCUCAACCUCGAGACGCCGAUGGAAACCAUCUAACUAGAGUCCGGAAGAGGAGAGUGGAAUUCCACGUGUAGCGGUGAAAUGCGUAGAGAUGUGGAGGAACACCAGUGGCGAAGGCGACUCUUUGGCCUGUAACUGACGCUGAGGCGCGAAAGCGUGGGGAGCGAUCCGG
rnacentral:rRNA from 1 species